ensembl:snRNA U2 U2 spliceosomal RNA
GUCACUUCUCAGCCUUUUGGCUAAGAUCAAGUGUAGUAUCUGUUCUUAUCAGUUUAAAAUUUUUGUACUUCUUUUUUUUUCUUUUUUUUUUAAAGAUUUUAUUUAUUUAUUCGACAGAGAUAGAGACAGCCAGUGAGAGAGGGAACACAAGCAGGGGGAGUGGGAGAGGAAGAAGCAGGCUCAUAGCA